rnacentral:rRNA from 1 species
GACGAACGCUGGCGGCGUGCUUAACACAUGCAAGUCGAACGGAAAGGCCCUGCUUUUGUGGGGUGCUCGAGUGGCGAACGGGUGAGUAACACGUGAGUAACCUGCCCUUGACUUUGGGAUAACUUCAGGAAACUGGGGCUAAUACCGGAUAGGAGCUCCGGCUGUAUGGUGGGGGUUGGAAAGUUUCGGCGGUUGGGGAUGGACUCGGGGGUUAUCAGCUUGUUGGUGGGGUAGUGGCUUACCAAGGCUUUCACGGGUAGCCGGCCUGGGGGGGUGACCGGCCACUUUGGGCCUGGGCUAGUGCCCAGACUCCUACGGGAGGCAGCAGUGGGGCAUAUUGCACAAUGGGCGGAAGCCUGAUGCAGCAACGCCGCGUGCGGGAUGACGGCCUUCGGGUUGUAUACCGCUUUCGCCUGUGACGAAGCGUGAGUGACGGUCAUGUGUAAAGAAGCCCCGGCUAACUACGUG